AAAAAAGAAGAAGAGACAUUAGCUAAUGGACAAUGAGGACCAUGCAAACACCAGAACAUUUUGUGUAUAGAACAGUUGUACUGGCUGAACAGGAGCAAGAAACAGAUAAUCAGCAAUCUGUAAACAACAGGAUAUGGACUCUUAGGACAAGUUUGGACACGAAGAUGACCUACACUUGGAGGCCUAACCUGAUAGCAUAUAGACCCCUUCCCCUGGCAAACCACAACAUUUUGCUUUGUAGUUUUAAAAGACUGGAUUCAGCUUGAGUUUGAG